rnacentral:lncRNA from 1 species
AGAAAAAGAAAAAUAUAUUUUUGAAUGAGAAGAUAAAGAUUGAAUUUUGUAAAUAAUUUUUGUAAGCAUUUUAUUUUUAAAUAAUGCUUCCUCCAAUUAUAUGUAAAAACAGUUUUUAACAUUUAUUUAAAAAAUUUUUAAAUUCCAAAUUCUCUUCCUCCCUCCUCUUCCCCCUUCCCUGAGACAGCAAGCAAUUUGAUAUUGGUAGUUUUAUAAGUAUUUUAGAGAAGAAAAGGAGAUUCUUCUCAUGGAAAUAAUAUGAGAUGACAUGGAAGCUGAUUGUUAUUUUUAAUUUUUUUUUUUAUCUCCAGUUGCCUCAAUGACUUCUUAUUCCCAGUGGUUUUCAUCCCGUGUUUUUGUCAUAUGUUCCCCACAUGCAUCCAACUUCAUAAUCCAAUUGCCUGAUAUAUAAAUCACUAAAAGUAGAACUUUCUUUUAUUAAUCCUUGUGACAACUAAUGAAGACUAAUGAGGAUGAAUGAAGAUAGUGUUCUGUGGAGGAGGAAAACUCAUUUCCAACUGUGUUGUAUAAAGGCAAAUUUGUAAGGGAAAGAAGUGUUGCUCUCUGUGUGGCUCCUCCUGCAGUUCUUGGCUUCCAGAAGUCAACUCUAGGCAGUGCUCUCAGCAGGUCUAGCCUGGAGUUGCAGAAGAAGACUUGGAAGUGGUGGUUGAAUGAGAGCUGUGUAACCAGGACCAUGGAGAGCCAAACAGUCUACCUUUUAGCUAUGAUCUUUGUUUCUGUUCUUAUGUCACCCUCCUCAUAUCUGCUUCCCGUACUUACCCUUCUCAUUGUCCCUUUAAGCUCUUUUCUUAGUCUUCUCUUCAUUGAAUAUAACCUUCAUUUUUCAUAGUAACUUACUCUGUCUCUAUAAAUGUGAAAAGAAAACACAACUCCUUCCCUUCCCUUCACAAACACCCCAUACAAUAAAAAAUCUUUGUAGGUUGUAUGCUUUUUAACU